rnacentral:rRNA from 1 species
GCCUAAUACAUGCAAGUCGAGCGAACCGACGGGAGCUUGCUCCCUUAGGUUAGCGGCGGACGGGUGAGUAACACGUGGGUAACCUGCCUGUAAGACUGGGAUAACUCCGGGAAACCGGGGCUAAUACCGGAUGCUUGAUUGAACCGCAUGGUUCAAUUAUAAAAGGUGGCUUUUAGCUACCACUUACAGAUGGACCCGCGGCGCAUUAGCUAGUUGGUGAGGUAACGGCUCACCAAGGCGACGAUGCGUAGCCGACCUGAGAGGGUGAUCGGCCACACUGGGACUGAGACACGGCCCAAACUCCUACGGGAGGCAGCAGUAGGGAAUCUUCCGCAAUGGACGAAAGUCUGACGGAGCAACGCCGCGUGAGUGAUGAAGGUUUUCGGAUCGUAAAACUCUGUUGUUAGGGAAGAACAAGUACCGUUCGAACAGGGCGGUACCUUGACGGUACCUAACCAGAAAGCCACGGCUAACUACGUGCCAGCAGCCGCGGUAAUACGUAGGUGGCAAGCGUUGUCCGGAAUUAUUGGGCGUAAAGCGCGCGCAGGCGGUUUCUUAAGUCUGAUGUGAAAGCCCCCGGCUCAACCGGGGAGGGUCAUUGGAAACUGGGGAACUUGAGUGCAGAAGAGGAGAGUGGAAUUCCACGUGUAGCGGUGAAAUGCGUAGAGAUGUGGAGGAACACCAGUGGCGAAGGCGACUCUCUGGUCUGUAACUGACGCUGAGGCGCGAAAGCGUGGGGAGCGAACAGGAUUAGAUACCCUGGUAGUCCACGCCGUAAACGAUGAGUGCUAAGUGUUAGAGGGUUUCCGCCCUUUAGUGCUGCAGCAAACGCAUUAAGCACUCCGCCUGGGGAGUACGGUCGCAAGACUGAAACUCAAAGGAAUUGACGGGGGCCCGCACA